UACGUAGGGGGCAAGCGUUGUCCGGAUUUAUUGGGCGUAAAGAGCGUGUAGGCGGCCAGGUAGGUCCGUUGUGAAAACUCGAGGCUCAACCUCGAGACGCCGAUGGAAACCAUCUGGCUAGAGUCCGGAAGAGGAGAGUGGAAUUCCCGGUGUAGCGGUGAAAUGCGCAGAUAUCAGGAGGAACACCGGUGGCGAAGGCGGGUCUCUGGGCCGAUACUGACGCUGAGGAGCGAAAGCGUGGGGAGCGAACAGG
rnacentral:rRNA from 1 species